GGCAUGUUUCUGGAAUGAAUUAUGUUCACAAACUAAGGUUUUACCGUGUAAGUAUUUAGGACCACACAUUUGCCUCUGAGUAGCCCUUUUGCCAUGACACACAAGUGUGUGCUUUUCAUUAUUGUUCUAAGUAUUUCUAAAUUUUCGUAAUAAUUUCUUUUUGGAGUCAUCAAUUACCUAGAAUUCUAUUUUUUAAAUUCCAAUAUAUGAAAACUUCCUAUCUUUUUGUUAUUGACUUCUAUUUAAUUAUAUUGUGUUUAAAGAAUGUGAUGGAUGCGAUACUUAUUUUUUGAAAUUUGUUGAGAUGGACUCAUGAUCUAGUAUGUGACUAAUUUCUAUAACCCUUCCGUGUAUGUUUAAGGAAAAUGGAUAUUCUCCAAUGGUUACAUUUAGGAUGUUACAUAUGGCCACUAGAUCAAAACUGUCCAGAUAUAUUUGUUGAGUAUUUUUUGCUGCUUGACUGAGCAAUAAUCGCGAGAGAACUGUUGGUAGAUAUGUUAAUUUCUCCCUAUAUUUCUAUCAAUUUUUUAUUUAUAUGGAGUGAGACUCUUUUAUUGGGUGCAUAUACACCUGGAAUUCUUACGUCUUCCUGGUGAGUUGAAAAUUACAUCAUGACAUAGUAACAUAUUCUGUCUUAGAGUGUAUUUUUUUGUGAUAGUGAUACAGUUAUGCUGAUUCUCCUAUGAUUAAUAUUUUCCUGGUACAUCUUUUUCCAUGUGUUUUUGCUUAGGUGUAUCCCAAACAGGAUUUCUCCCCAUAUAGUAAUGUCUGCCUUUUAACAGAUUGAUUCAAUCCAUUUAUAUUUGGGUGGGGAUCAUGAAUACUGUGAUAUAGCUUUCCACAAUCUUAAUGAGGCAACACUGGAGAAUAUGAGUCCCAAGAUGACAUAUCUUUGCCAGUAAUGAAAGCCAGUGAUCUGAAACUCAGGCAUGUUGACUGUCUUUGGCUUUUCCUCCAUGGUGCUUCCAUUAAGUUGUGCAUCUUAAGAAAAUGUCAUUUUCUGCUUAGGUGUAGGGUUGAAACCAAAUCUUUGGGAAAUGAAUGAAGCCACAUAAUGUCUCAAAGUUUCUCUCAGGAAACUCUAAGGGGCAGCAGAAUGCUUGUGCGAAUGCAUGGGCUUUAGCGCUGGGCAGAACCGUCCCCUAACCUUUGCUCUGCCACUUUCUAGCUGUGGGAUCUGGGGUGCGUUCCUUAAUCUCUCUGAGUCUGUUUCUUCAUCUAGAAAUCAAGAAUAACCACACCUGCCUCCCCAUGAUAUUUACCAGGCAAAUGGAACAGCCUGGCUUACGGCAGGUGCUCAGUGAAUGUCCGCACUUUUUCUUCCUCCCUCCCCUCUUCCAGGCCCACGGCCUUGAUGAUGUCAAGAACGUUUUGUAAAUAUUACAAAUAUGAUGCGUCACUGUGAUUAUUACUUAUUAAAAUCACUUUGUUUCCUGAUUUGGGUGAUUCAUCUCAACCAAAAGAAAGAUUUGUGCUGUUCUGGCUAACAAAAACUUUGCAAAACAACGAGUGCUUCAUUUCGGCAGCCUAUUCUGUGCCGGUCACGAUGUCUGUCUACACUGGCAUCAAUUUCAGGUAAUCACUGAGCUUUCUGAAACGUUUUUGUUUGCGUAUUUGUUUUAGGGCAGAUCGAGUGUGACUUAGGUAAUAUGAUUGCAUUCUCAGGAAUUCACAGAGAUGAAAACACAGAUCUGAGAUCUGAGAACUGGGAAUAAGAAGUUCCCAAUGCAUAAGAGUAGAGCACGAGAACGCUAAAAUGUUCAGAGUCUGCAUACUGUGUCGAUGAGGAACUCAGAAGUGUUCUCCUUUCUGGGCUUUUUGACCCAUCCAAGACGAUAAAGCAGGUUCUCAAUCAUCUCUCCCCGAUCUUAUCUUGCUUCUUUUGCCUCCUUUUUAUCAUCACCAAAUACUUUGAGCAGCUGUAGGUGUUAUGGGUUAAAUAGUUUCUGGGUGGUUGGCCACUUGGCCAGAGGGCAUCUGAGCAUCACUUGUGGUCAGCACUUUUUGGCUCAUGCGCGUUAGCAGUUUGGGAUGUCAGAUGGAAUCUCCCAGGACAGAUGAGGUGGGGGAAGAGGCCAUACAUUUGGGCUUUCGUGCAUGUCAUGGUGGGGCUAAGUUGGAAACGUGGUAAUGAGGGAAGAUUUCUUAGAGAGACCGAUAGUGCCCAGGAUCCUGUGCUGGCAAUGGCUGCCACUUUCUGGCUGUGUGAUCAUGGGCAUAGCUGAGAAUAUAAAAAGUGUGAAUAAAUGAACACAGUGUUGGAGAGAAGAGAAACAUUAUGUGCUAUUCCAUCGGCAACAGGAGAUGCCUGUUUCGUGAGAUUGCGGUGCCGGUCACAAAAUGCUAACUCGGGAAAUCACAGACGACGGUUGGCCGACUUUCCCACCCGCGGACCGAGGGUCCCACCCCGCGCGUGGCCCUCUGGCAUUCCGCCGGUAAGGGUGCCUUCUGCAAAAAGACACAUCGCAGCCAAGUCCGAAGAAGAAUGUUCUUUCAUUUGCCCCGUGGUGGGAAUAGUGACCAGGGCUGAUGCACCGGGCUGUAGAUGGGUCGAGCUAAGCGAUUCCUGUGAAUAGUGCUCCGAGUCGGAAAACGUGGUACCGCUCAGCUCGGGGGCCCGCUGUUUGUAAAACGAGGAACACCUAGAACAUCCCUGAAACUCCUUCUAGCUGUAAAACAUUCUGAUCCAUGAUCGAGGGAAAGAGGAAAGCCUCUGGGUGUCUCAUUUUCCUCAUCUGUAAGAUGGAGGAAGUACUAGGUGAUAACUGUACCCGGCCCAUCGGGCCAUUUGCAGAUGAAAUGUGUCUGUAAAAAACCAAAAAGACUUUAUAAUGGGCCAAGGAAGCACACAGAAGUACUUGCUUCCUUAUUCAGCCCCAAAUUGCGGAAAGUUCAGUCUCUAGCAAUCACACUGCACAUUCUAGUUCCCAUAUACUUUUAUGUCUCGAAGGCUCCCACAAGGGACAUUUGCUAAUGCCCGACAAGAGAUUCCAAACAGGUGAACUGGCCUAGAGGCUGCAACUUUACCCCAGGGGCCUGGCAGUCUUAGGCAUUUACGUAACAAUUAGCUACGAGUGAAAUCUUUCUCGAAUGAUACCCACGGUUGUGCUUUCCUUGCAACAGUUCUAUGAAACAGGUCGAGAUCUUUUCUUCUGACUUUGCGCCUGGGAAAACUCGUGGACCAGAAGGUUUAGUUGCUUUUCCAGAAGGUGUCAAUAGGGAGAGCAGCUUGGGCCUGGAACUGGCUAGAUCCUGGCUAAGUAGACCUUGGGGUCUCUACCACUCGCACCUUUGAGGAGAAGAGAGUCGCCUCUUGCUUUCCGUCAAGUAUUUGCCCCAGACUGCUGUACCUGCUAUGAGAUUGCAGGUUAAUGGAGGCCAGACGGGAAGCCUCUGUCUUCUUUUGUUUCAAGAGACCCUGGACCUGUAUCCCAGCUUUGUUCGGAGCCAAGGAGGAAAUUCCUUCAUCGCGAACUUCACUGUCUGAGCCUGAACCAGAAGGAAUAACAACAUGUGCGAUUUUAACCGUUUUCAGCAUCUGUUAUGACACAAUCCGUGAAGCCUUUUGUUAAUUUUCCUGACGAUUACCUCCCGCUCGUAUACUUUCCCCACAGCUGUCUGGCCCUUUUCCUGGGCCAGCCCGACACUCUAAAGUAACAGGAUUUCUGAAAUCCCAACUGCGCUCCAUCGCCAAAGACGACUUUGCUCACUGGGGCCCGGCGAGUUGUUUUAAAACACCGGCCCGUGCCAGGUAACAAGGCAAAGAGCUACGACUCUCUCACAACCGAGGGUAAUUCAUCAACUUGGAGGGCGCCGGAUAGAAACGGCGAGAUCCUCAACUUCCUCAAAACCCCGUUCUAGCCCUCCAAAGGAAAAGUCUCAAGUGCAGAAACAUAUUUGUCACAACGUGGAAAUCUCGCGAGCCAUCACCGCGGAUCCCCGUGUGGAUACUAACUUUCUGUCCCAAAUUGUAAAAUGUAUCGGCACGUGCAGUAAGGCGAUACCACGGUUUCUUAGAACCCGCGUCCCGCUUUAGGGAGAAGUAAAAGUAAGGCAGGGAAUUUUGAGUUUGAGUCUCCUUCUUAUGGGUGGAAAACCGUCUGCCACAGAUUUGGGUAGAGGGAAAAGGUCCCUGACGUUUGGACGGACCGAGUUCCUCAUCCGCAGCCCGGAAGAGGUUUUGCCCAGACGGCGGUGGGGAUGUAGUUAGUGUUCCCAAGAACUCCUUGGUGGAGAUUUUUACAUCUGGGACACGCCUCUCCCAGGUGACCAUGUACUUACGUGCUGAUCUGGAGGAGGACACGUCAGCCACCGAUCCGGAACCUCCUUAUGCCGUUUCUAGACCUACUUCUGUGGUAUUUUGGAGAACAGUAACUAUGUAGGCUCCGCCGUGCACCCCUGGUGUAGCUGCGCGUCACCAGCCCACGGUAGGCUCUGGGGCCAACAUGAUGUUGGCCUAUUUGGGAUGCGAUGGCACGUGAAGCUUUAUGUUUCGAUCCACCUCUCCACGAGAAAGCUUUCUAAAGAGAGCAACAGUUAUGGCACGUUGUCACAGAGAGGGUCUCAGUAGUUUUUAUGUUUCUUUUUUUUUUUUUAAUUUUUUUUUUUAAUAUUUAUUUAUUUUUGAGACAGGGAGAGACAGAGCAUGAACGGAGGAGGGUCAGAGAGAGAGAGGGAGACAUAGAAUCUGAAACAGGCUCCAGGCUCUGAGCUGUCAGCACAGAGCCCGACGCGGGGCUCAAACUCAUGAACCGUGAGAUCAUGACCUGAGCCGAAGUCGGACGCUUAACCGACUGAGCCACCCAGGCGCCCCUAAUUUUUAUGUUUCUGAUUUGACUUUGCCUUCACCGUCCACCAAGCCCAGGAUCCGAGAUGCCGUGAAAUUUCUCACACGGUAAAGCUGAAUCAUGGAAUGGCACGUCAAACCUAAGUCCUUUUCCAUUGUUUUUCCACCACCGAGAAUUAUUUAAAAAGAUCUCUGUGGCCAGGACAGUAGGGAUCCUGCACUAUCUAUCGCAAGGUCAGGAAGAAAAUUAUUAAGAAGUUCAAGCCCAGGGGCGCCUGGGUGGCUCCGUUGGUUAAGCGCCCAACUCUCGGUUUCCACUCGGGUCAUGAUCUCGAGGUUCGUGAGUUCAAGCACCAUGUCGGGCUCCCUGCUGACAGUGCAGAGCCUGCUUGGGAUUCUCUCUCUCUCUCUCUCUCUCUCCCCCCCCCCACUCCCUCUCUCUGCCUUUCCCCCGCUUGCUUUCUCUCUCUCUCUCUCAAAAUAAAUAAAUAAACUUAAAAAAAGUUCGUGAUCAUGAUCACAGAAAAGUAAACCCCAUGCACAGGUCCCCUCUGAGCACAGGGCCCUGUGUGUUUCACUGCCACAUGACCAGGAAGCAGGACGUGGCCAGAGGUGCAAUGGCCCUGGGGGGUGACAGGCUCAGGUCAGGUGGGGAUGCCUUGAGUGUCUGCCUUUCUUCCCGAAAGCCUUUGGCUACAGCUUUUCCUGGAGGACCUCCAGCUCCUGUCCAUCACAACCCGGGCCGUGACAGAUUUGGGGUGGACUCUGUCUCAGCCAUCCUUGGUCUGUCUAGCCCCAAGCCCUUGGCCUCUGGCCUCCACGCCACUGCCUCGUAUUCAUAUCCAAGGGGCUUUAAGGCCCCCCACCACGAGGGUGGGUGAUCCAGAAGGGCCGCAUGGGCAAGAAUCGUGGCAUCACGGAGCAGGGAGAGUUUCUGUGAUCAUCAGCUUAGGAGACGUUGGGAUACGCUGGGGGCACAGGGUGGCACCCACCUGCCUCCUCCCUGGAUCCGCAUCACUAACUAGGUUUUGUUCGGUGGAAUCUUAAGGAUUCUUUGGAGCCAGUGUUGCCUUGGUGGGUGUGAGGUUCUUAUCUGCAACCUUGGGAAAUCCGAGUUUUCUCUCUUCCAGGUGAGUAAAUAUAUGUUUGGACAUAUAAGUUUGCAAAGCGAAAUACUGUGGGAGGUGUCCAUGGCUCAGCAUUGCUUUUGGCUAUUGGCUUUGGACCAGUGACUACCGACGGGCUGGCAGGAUGCAGGUGGGGCGCUUGUGGACUGUGGGUCAGAGGAGGCCCCUGAAAAACUCAGAGCCUGUGCAGGAAAGGCUGGCAACUGGUCCCGUCUCAUGGCUCAUUAGCCCCGUAGCCAGGCACCCGGAGGUGGGUGGAAAGGAACAGGUGGCUGCCCUUCUGGAAGGUCAUAAAACCCCUGCAAAGCAUGUGCUUCGUUUUCAGGGACAGUUGCCAAAUUCUUGCCCUUGAAAUAAUUUUCCAGGUCUCUCUGCUAGAAAAAGGCUUAAUCUGGAGAAUGAAGGAGGGAGGAACCAAGUGAGAAUAAACCUUCACGUUUUCCAAAAAAAAAAAAAAAAAAGGAGAGGGAUCAUUUACAGGAACCUGUUCUAAGGACAGACUCCCCCCCCCCCCCCCCCACACACACAUACACAAACCCCCAGUUCUGCAAAGCAAAUAAUCAGAACCAUGACUGAAUUCACGGGGGUUUGGUCAGGCACAUCCAGAUAGCUCAGAGCUCACAGGAACGCGAUGUGGACCCAGGGUCACCCAUUCCAGCUUUGAGAAAACUAUACGGUGUUUACUGGGUUCGUCCCCACACGGCUGGGGACCACAGCAGCCCCCCCCCCCCGCCCCCAUGCGGGGAUGCGCCCUCUCGACAAUCACUUUCCACUAGCCCGUCCCCAGGAGCACCACUCGGGCUCCGCGGUUAAUCUGUCGACAGCCAGGGGAACGAACACACUGAGUCAUCUGCCUCCUUUUCAACCAAGACGGAUUUCUGGGAAUGUGAAGAACACUGAAGCGACGUGACAUUCCUUAGCUUGUAGCAGGAAGGCAACUCCCCGCUUCCUUUCUAGACGGGUUGCCUCAUCUUUCUGAACAGGACGAAACAGAUUUCCUUGAAACUUACAUGCCUCUGGCAAAGAAAGGCAGGAGAGCCUGGCCCGGCCCCACCCCUCCCUUUGUGGGGCCGCUCGGUUACCCUGCCCCAGAGGAAGGGUGGGCAAGCACUGUCACCUCCGCUGUCCCGCCUUCCCCUGGGUGAGAAAGACGCACACGAUGUGCACCCCGUGCCCACCGCGUGCACGGUCACGGGCACUGGUCACAGCACAGUUGCUACACGUGUGCGGGGCAUCUAGGGACACAUCAGCCUUGGUGAGGGGCAUGGCAGCCGGUUCCAGGCUCUGUCCUUUUCAGAAUAAGUCACAGGACAGGGGUGUAACGACUGAGUAUUGAUACGUAAGAGAAAAGGAGACGGCAGCUACGUACAGAGAAGCACUCUCAGCAAGGCCUGUGGGCCACCCACGAAACACAGACCCACCACUUCUGGCUCCGUAACCAUCACCCCGCUCGAGGCCCCUGUUGGUUCUCCGGAGGAAGACCGUUCAAAGAUCUUCUCAUCAUGUGCCUCGUUUCCACUCUGGCUCUACCAAACCCACCUCCUAUGCAGCGGCUGGAACAAUCGUCUCACAAUCUAAGUAGAAUUGCAUCACUGCCCCACUCACAGCAGAGUGAGACCUAUCUAUCUGCCCGUUGGAACGGGCCCCAGCCCCUGGCUAUGUCGCCUGCCUUGACUUGCCUUCUUACCUCUCUCCAGCCCCAGCCGCUCCGCCUCCCUGGCUGCUUUUGGGAACCUCAGACACUCCAGCCCUGGGCUCGGUCUUCCGGGCUGCCCCUUCCCUUGUAGAGGUCUCCACUGAAUGGUCACCUGCUCAGAGAGGCUUUCCCUGGUCCUCAGGCAUGCGCUCGUCCUAUUUAUUUCAUGCCGUUCCUAGCUUUCAUCUCGGUCUGUGCUGUUGUUGACUUGCGUGUUGAUGUGUUUCCUACCCGUCUCUUCCUCCCAGGACGCACGUUGCAAGAGCCCUCUUAGGACAUGCCGAUGUGCUCGGUACCUGAACAAGGGAACAGGUUUGCCGCCUGGAAGCACAAACACACUGAAUUAUCGGGAUUGAGUGGCAGAGAAAUACAGCAUGUUAGGGUUGCCAGGGUUUCAGGACUCAUCUGAUCCCAUGUAAUCUUCCUGAGGUGGGCAUCCAGACUCUGCCUGACCUCUUACAGGGCUUGAGAGCUACUUAUCACACAGUGGACCCAGGGGGAUAACCGAGCACUGCCAACGAGGUGACAUUAUGUCAUUUUCACGAGCUCCCUUAAAACUCCCACUCUGCCUGACCACUUAGCAUAACAUUGAUCAAGCCUGUACUUGGGAGAUCGUGGAGGGGAGAGACAGACACGCAAAGAAAAUAAUCUAAGUCCGGGCCCCAAGUGUGAGGACUUUGGUAGAACAUUCCUUAGAAGGUCUCCAUUCUACCUAAGCCCCUUCCUAGCCGUCUCCAUGUUGCUGAGACACCUGUGCAGAUUAAAAGGAUUGAUGUUGGGACAAUGGCCAUCAUAGAGCCUGGCACACACUAAGUGCCCAAUAAAUGUUUGCCUCGGGUCUCUCACAGAGCAGGUGACUAUGGGGGAGGAGGGCACGGGCCUACCUGGCUCAAAACUACAUUUCCCAGCCUGCCCGGCAGCCAGUGGGGCUGUCUGACCAAGCUCCUGCCAGUGUCAGCUGGGGUCAGAUAUGCACUUACUGGUAGGGCCUUAAAACACCAGCGUGGCCCCUCACUUCCCCUUCCCCUUCUCUGGGCCGACAAGCUUGUCAGGGACCCAGCUGCAACCAGUGAUGAGUCCAAUGUCCUGGAACGGGACAGGAAGGCAAAGAGUGAGACAGGGGAGCUGAGCCUCCUUGCCAGCCACUCGUCCUGGCUGUUGUAGGAAAGGCUGAGAGAUCCGUCUCUCAGUUAAGCCUGUGCAUCGGAGGCCUAUUUGUUACAACAGCCUUGUCCACAUCCGUGCUGAGACAAUGGGUACGUGAGGGGCUCUGGGAAGUGGAGUCUGCGGGAAGGGAGGAGGGAGGGGGUGGGGGGAGGCCACAGAAUUCAAAGGUGAGGGGGAUUCUGUUGGAGCGCCCAGCGGAGGGAGGUGGGAGAAGGCGUGGGACAGAGGCCAUGACUCCGGUUUUAUGACUUGUCUAGUGCACAGCAGUGAGUGGGAGAACGGUAUUCGGGCAUCACUUCCUGGAAAGCCGUGGACAUUCUGGUAGAAGGGGGACCCAGGCUGAAGAUUCGGUGACAGCUGACUUCCUGGGAGCCCAUGGCCUCCUCCAGAGAUAGUCUGCAAAAUGACACAGAAAGCUGGACCCUGGAGAGACCCACCUCUGAGAAGUGAGAGACAGAGAGGCAGAGGCAGAGACCAAGAGGCAGAAAGGUCAAGCCCAAUGAACCCUGCCAGGCCACCGGACUGGGCAUCUCCUGUGAGGUCACUGGGCAUCCCCCAAAAGUCUUUCUUUUGUUAGCUCUGCCUUUAAUGUCCUUGGCCUUGGUGAAAACACAGCCAAGUAUUUAGGGAGAGGGAGACACGAUGUCUGCAAUUUACUUGCAAAUGGUUUGGAAAAAAACAUCUAUAGAGACAGAUGAAGGAAAUGCUACCACAUGGUCAGGAGAGGGGAAUCUGGUCGAAGGCUGGGGGGGUUCUUUGUAACAUUCUUGAGGCUUCUUUAAGUUUAAAAUGAUAUAAAGAUCUCCUUGUUUUAAAAAGAACACGUUGAGGAGAGAGCAGGGCGCAAGCGGACCGAGCUUCAGAGAGUGUACCCAGGAGGGGGAGGAAAAGGGGGGGGCGGCCCACCCCUGGAGGGUGGGACUUUGUGGAAGAUGGGGAGGGGGAGAAGGAGUAGGUGUUUGAGCAUAUUUUAUGGCUGAAACAACUGUCUGGACAGGGAAGGAGAAGGCUGGGAUGGAAGGGAGGGGGACCGACAGGGGGAGGGGCAGAGUGGGGGCAGGGAGGGGAAGGGGAGAGGGGAAGAGGGGGAGGGGUGGAUGAAAAAGGAGGGAAGGGGGAGAGGGGCCAAAGGGGACAGGGGCCCAAACCCCGUGAAAAUUUGGAUCAGGCCUGGAGGUCAGCCUUGGGGUGGAGUGGGGCCACUCUUGGGAGAGAGUCUGCCCCCUUGACCAUGCCCUCCCCCCUCCCGGAAGAAGCCAGGGCCCUUUUAAGUCGCAGCCCCGCGGUGAGUCAUGGCCCCCCCCCCCCAACGUCCCCCUUUCCCCCCUCCCUCCCCUCCACCCCCGCACCACUUCCCAGGCUGCACCCCACUGAGCGCCCCCCCAUAGGCCCAUCCACCCCCCCUCCCCCAGCAGUGCCCCCCUCCCCUGCCCCGCCUCUCCCCCUCCCUGCAGCGCAGCUGGGGGCCCGCGGCGGGCCCAUUCCUUUCCCCUGAGCCAGGCGUCUUCGCGCGGUUAUCAAAGUUAUUUUUACGCGUUGAGAAUUUUUCAAGUGAGCACUUGUGCGGUGGCACCUUCUCCUUGUCGCGCUUGGGCCUUGAAGAAAUUCAGCGGCUUAUUUAUAGCGGGUGUUUAUUUUCACUCCGCGCCCGAACUUGAGCCUCCUGUUAAGUGCUCGCAGAUCCAGAUCGGGAGUGAACCCUGGCUUUCUUGCCACCUGACCCGGUGACAGGGUUUGGUUGACCUUCCAGCAGUGUCUGUGACCUGGGGGCGGGGCGGGAGGGGGGGUGUCCCUGGGGGCCCGGAAAGAAACACGGACCCGAGUUCAAUCCUGGGCUUGGUGGAGGGGGGCGGGCGACGAGCGAUGUCAUGGCUGGCACUUAAUUUCUACAAGGCGUCCUCCCCCUGGACCCCCACUCGGGGUGUGGAGCACGCCCACCUUCAUCCGCCCUUAGGUGAUGUACCCCCCGUGAGGUCAGAGCAAUAUUCGACUCCGGGAAAGAUUUCGCUUUUGAGUCACCCUCAGGCUCAGACUUUCGCAUCCACUAAACUUGUCCUGUUUUGGGGGGGCUCAGGGCGACGACAGGGAUCCCCACUUGACAGAGACAGAGUCUAGCCGUUUGCUAAGUGGCACCCAGGUAACCCCCAGUAAGGUGGGAUGCUGGAACGGGGCCCCACAAGGAGCUGCUCCUUCUGCCUCGGACGUUUGAGGGGCCUCACUGUCCGACCGGGGAAGAAGCCACUUUAGAAACAGAAAAAAAAAAAAAAAAACAACCAAGGUGUGACAUAAGAAUGGGUUUCAGAGCCACCACUGGCUGGCCCUCUCCGUGUAGUAAUCACGGUGACUUACAGAAAUUUCCCCGGGGGGUUGCCCAGAGAUGACCUGGAGUCCCGGAAGACGGUUCUGGCAAAAAAAAACACCUCUGGACUCGAAUCUGAGCGCUCAGAUGCCUCCAACCAUGUAACCGGCCUGCUUGGGCCUGAUGGACACUUUCAUGGUAAUUUUUGGAGCUCUGGGGCUUGAGGCACAACUCAGAGCUGAAUAAACCCCAUCUUGGUUCUCUUACGUUUGCCCGGAGCGGCUAGCCGGUCCAUUAUCUCUGCGCCAGGGUCAUUUGAAUUUAUUUUACAUUUAUUCCGAAACAAGCCGGAUUUGGCUGAAGUCACCCGCAUUCAGCUCUAAACUGUAAAACCCCCAUUUGCCUAGCAGUUGAGUUCAAAAAGAAAGGAUCAGAGUAUGAUGUGCUUUUGUUUGAUUUUGCUCUUACUCUCCAGAAAAUGGGUCUGUGGUGGGAGUGGAGGGUUUACAGGCUCAUGGUCCCAGGCGGAGAUUCUGCGGCUCCUGGGGAUGGCUGGGACCCCUGUUUCUGGCUGAGCAGCCGGAGGGGAGGGGGGCAGGGAGGGCGCCCUCUGUGUGUUCUAUUUUCGGGGAGAGGGAUGAUUGGCAAAGGGCAAGAAUCUUAAAAGAGAGACUUGAGGCAGAAAAGACUGUCUACACUGCAGGGGUCAAGAGGGCUCCCACUAGGACCACCCUCAGGCUGAACAUCUCCAACGCCUUCUGAUUCUAGACCUUCCCAGCGUCCUCCUGGGCGACCCCUGGAGCUCGCAGAUUGCUAGCUUUGGGGGUUUACUCUUCCCUUCUUAAUUUCUACCCUGAAGUAGAAUGGCUGCCUCAGUCAGCUGGUUACUUACUAGAAGCUUCCUCUCUGGGGGCUCCUGGUCACGAUCAGAGAUAGCGACCCAUCCUCAAGAGCAUAGGCAACACCCAUUCUAAAAUCUGACUUGAACGUUGGGUUAUUUAAAACAAUGCUUUCUUCUCUUGGUGUCACUCCUUGAUGCUUUCUUAAUUUAAAGAGUUAUUUAUUGGGGCGCCUGGGUGGCUCAGUCAGUCAAGCGUCCGACUCUUGGUUUCGGCUCAGCCCGCGAUCUCACAGUUUGUGAGUUCAAGCCCCGCGUCGGGCUCCACGCUGACCCUGUGGAGUCUGCUUGGAAUUCUCUCUCUUCCCUUCUCUCUCUGCCCCUCUCUCGCUUGCUCUGUCUCUGUCUCAAAAUAAAGACAUAAACUUAAAAAACAUUUAAGCGUUAUUUAUUGGUUAGGAAAAUUAUAAAGCUUCUAAGAGCAAAAAAUUACUUUUGAUGUUAUCGUAAAUAUAACUCUUGACUUUAACUCUACGGUCUUCUGUGAUGUUGCCCAUGUAUAACGAAAUUGAUUCCAUUUUCUUAGCUUUAUACUUCAGGAGAUGGGAAGAGUAUGUUUAAAAUGUAAUUUGGGGCGCGCCUGGGUGGCUCAGUCGGUAAAGCAUCCGACUCUUGAUUUCAGCUCAGGUUAUGAUCUCAUAGUCGUGAGAUCAAGUCCGGAGUUGGGCUCCGAGUUGGGCAUGGACCCUGCUUAAGUUUCUCUCUCUCCCUCUCCCUCUGCCUCUCCCUUUCUCGCUCUCUCUCAAAUAAGUAAAAUAAAACAAAAUGUAAUUUUGUGGAACAGUGGGCUUUUGGGAGGAAACAUUCUAAAUAGGAUGGCUCCCCCUGAUCCUGGAUGGGGACGAGUGUCAGUCUUAGCUUCCACUGGAAUUUAUGAAUGACUGCAGAAAGUGGCCAGAUCCAAAGUUCAUCCUCUCUGCCCAAAGCACUAACUAUCUUCAGUGUUAUGCAUAAUUCAAGAGAGAAAGGCAGGCCUGGGCAUUCGGGCUCAAGCUGGCGAGAGCCCAGGCGUCCUACCCUGGGGCAGAGCAGAGGCACGUUGUGGUGCGGGCGCCUGGGGGCUUCGGGAACCGUCCUCUCCAUUCACAGGUGUCCGAAGACCAAGCUUUUUAGGAAAACUACAAAUAAGAUACUCUUCCUCUUGAAUGAUUUACCCUCUUCUAAAUAAUGAGUGACAUCAACCAUAAUCUAUUUCAACCUCACUAGUUUAAAGACUAUAAUCAUUUACAUGGAUGUUGUAAAAAAAAAAAAAAGUUUUGCUGAACAAGAAAAAUCAGAGGGAAAACAUUUUUUUAAGUUUACUUAUUUAUUUUGGGAGAGAGAAAGAGAGCAGCUGGAGGAGGGGCAGAGAGAGAAGGGGACAGAGAGAGAGAGAGAGAGAGGGAGAGAGAGAGACUCCCAAGCAGGCUCCACACCAUUAGUGUAGAGUCUGAUGCGGGACUCGAACUCACAAACCAUGAGGUCAUGACCUGAGCCGAAGUCGGACGCUUAACCGACUGAGCCACCCAGGUGCCCCCCAGAGAGAAAACAUUUAAUUUAUGUAAGAGAAAAACAUACCUGUAGUGAUUUUAGCAGCCCUCCUUUGUCUAUGAGUACCUUAAUGCUGAUUGAAAUGAUCCUUCUCUGUUCCCUAAAUAAAUCUUCUGUGUCUCCAGGGGGCAAGAUUCUAUUUUCCUUUCUUUUGGGUUUCUAAGAAGUUUUGAGGGUGACAUAACUAAAUUUCUUUUAAAAUACUGAAGGGGAUUAUGGGGCUCUUGGGCGGCUCAGUCGGUUAAGUGUCCGACUUUGGCUCAGGUCAUGACCUCAUGGUUUCGGGGUCCGUGAGUUCGGGCCCCGCGUCAGGCUCUGUGCUGACAGCUCAGAACUUGGGACCUGCUUCGGAUUCUGUGUCUCCCCCUCUCGCUCUGCCCCUCCCCCAUUUGCACUCUCUCUCUCUCUCUCUUUCUCUCAAAAAAUGAGUGAACAUUAAAAGCAAUGCAUACUUUGGCAUGAGGAUUAUUUUGAGCUGAAGGCAAACGAGAAAAAAACGGACUCAGGAAAUGCAGUCUGUGCUAUUAUCUGGCCUCAAGUAGAGCCUAUGUUUUCCUUUGAAGAUGUUUCCCCCUCCUUCAUACCAGGAAGGGAAGAAGGCAAAUCACCAGAGAUGCGGAGGGUGCCCGACUUGAGUCUGCGUAAACACUUUACUCAGGACCCCUUGUCUUCAUUAGUUUCCCCCAUAUAUUUAUCUUCCCACGUCCCUUUUCCUUUGUCUAGUCACUUCUCCAUAAUUUAUCCUCUUUGUUAAAAUGGUGUCUAAGCUCCCCAAGUUGAACUGCUCCUCUGGGUCUUUCUUCCUUUUCUACGAAGACCUCUGCUCACAUGAAAAUUAAAAUAUCGAUGGCAAGUCAAGUUUGUAUGCCUAUUUCCUGUUGAUCUGGCUUUUGUCGGCUUAGUUCACAGGCCCAGGCAUAGAACCUAAGAGGGAAGAGGAAAGUGUUUUCCUCGCCUACCUACCGUAUUUUCUAUUGA